rnacentral:rRNA from 1 species
GACGGAGGAUGCAAGCGUUAUCCGGAAUGAUUGGGCGUAAAGCGUCCGCAGGUGGCAGUUCAAGUCUGCUGUCAAAGACCGGGGCUUAACUUCGGAAAGGCAGUGGAAACUGAACAGCUAGAGUAUGGUAGGGGCAGAGGGAAUUCCUGGUGUAGGCGGUGAAAUGCGUAGAGAUCAGGAAGAACAUCGGUGGCGAAGGCGCUCUGCUGGACCAUAACUGACACUCAGGGACGAAAGCUAGGGGAGCGAAUGGG